GCGGGUGAGAACACAGAGACGGUGAAGGUAGAAGCUCUUUCAAGAAGGAAAAGCAAAUAAGGGAGAGGCUGAAGACCCGGAGAAGAUGGGAGAGGACGGGAUAGACCUUGGACAGGAAGAGGACUGCCUCCUCCCUUGCAACUAAAGGGAAGAAGCCAAAGAUGAUUGCCAAGAUAGAUUUGAAUGUUACAUGGCAGAAAUAGAGGGUGUUACUAUCUUGGGGCUUAUUUUUUCAUAGUCAUAUUGAAGAGAAGCUGAGUCUAGGUGGAUGAAUCAGCCCUUGGCCCCCAUCCCUCCAUUAGAACUGCUCUUGUCAAGGUCACCAUGACCUCCAAUGUUACUGAAGGUUAAAACUCUCAGCCCUCAUCUUACUCAUUAGCAACAUUGGACACAAUUUAUCAUUUUCCGUUCCCUGCAACACUGUCUUUCCUAGCUGUAUCAGGUAUACUUCCUGCAUUACUUCACACUCUCUGGGCCCCCAUUCUACUCUAGCCAUUGCUCUGGGAAAGAGUUGCAUGAAGGUUUCAACCAGGGUUGUGCUUGUGUGAGCUGACCAUGUCUUGCGUAUCUUGCUCCCUACCCUGGGGUGUCUCCAACACCAUGGAGUGGAACACCCUGCAGAAACCGGGUGGAACUAACUCUUGCACGAUCCAGAAAUGCAGGGGAGUUAACAUUCCUUGGAGCAAUCUCUGACCAGCCAAGGAUAGGAGCCAAGGGCUGGACCUGAAGCCAAGAGACCUGGAGAAAGCGAGGAAUGCUCAAAGCUUUUCAGAGACCGCUGGAUGAGAGGCCUGACUGGAGACUAAUAUCUGGGAAUCAGAAGUGCCAUCAUGAUCCUCCGCUUGGAGUAGGAGCUAGUAGAGGUCAUGUGAUAAAUUGAGUUUAGGGCCAAGUCCCCUUUGUGGUUCAAAGGCUCUUGUCAUGUCUGCAGUUCCUGAGUGUGUAAUUAGAAUCAGUUUACUUAGCAGGUGGCAGAAGCCUCAAUCUGAUUCCCUGACCUGUGGAGUAAGAGCUACGUAGUAGAAAGGGCUGCCUCCCUGGGUCAAGACAAUAUCAGAAGUGACACUACAUCCCAGGGAGAGUUGCUAGGGUUACCCGUGAAGAUUGAAAGUUGCAGUGCUAGUGGUCUCCAGGACACCCCUGUGCAUUCCACCUGUCUGGUGAAAUGCAAUGGACCAUGGUGGACAUAGCAGACAUGGCAGCACCUGAAGUUCUUCUUUGGAGGGUGGCCCUCGCAUUACAGAGGACUGCUUUGCCUGCAGGAGAUGCAAACUGGAAAUGCCUGAGAAUUUCUUUUCUCCACUAAGGUCCCAACUAUGGGGCAACCGAUCUGGAGCUUGGGCCAAAUGAGGAAGCAUAAUCUGAAGGCAUAAACACUGGGGCAUCUCUGGAAAGCCCUUUGGAGGGUUGCAUGGUAGAUAUCAACAGUUCUGGAGCAAGGUCCUGCCUUUGUGACAGAGAAUCACUUGUCAUUUGUAAAUUAGCUCCUGGAGGUGCUGCUUGGCCCUUGUAGAGAUUGAGCACUUGACUGGAGGUCAUGAAGUGACUGUGCCAAUGGAACUGUUCAUCAUUAUCUGGAUCCUGAGUCAUAAAGCUGGGUGGGCAUGGUAGCAAUCCAUUGUGUGAUGAAAUGGUACAUUUGCGAUCGGGCCAAGUAUAUUCAGGACUGUGUCCGGAAGGCAUAAGUAUAAUAUAGAAACACAUAGCCCAGAUGUCCAUGGCAUUCACCUUUGUUGCACCAAUACCUCUCCUUCAACUCACACCGAUGACAUCAUGGAGCAGAGGUGGGGAAGGUACAACCUACUUUCAGGAAAAAAUGCAGGCUUAGUUCACAGAUGGGUUUGCACGAUGUGUUGGUGUCAGCCUAAAGUCAUUGGAGAAGGAAACUUCUUGCAGUAGGGAUAGCUUGGAGCGGUAUGCUCUUGAUUGUUCAAUUUGUGUGGAGCCAGACUUGCUCUGAGAGGUAUGGGUAUCCACACACUUUUGGGCAGAAACAAAUAGCUUCACUAUUUGUCAGGAGGCUGGAAUGAGUAAAACUAGAAGAUUGGAGACCCAGAGGUCGGGAAGGGGCAUAUGGAUGGACCUUUGGAAAUGGGCACAAAGCAUCCCUGUGUCUCACAGGGAUGUCCACCAGCCAGAAGUCACUGCAGAGGAAAGAGCUGACAGCUGGUCCUGUGCCUGCCAGGCAGCUUCUUUCCUUGGCCACCUAGCGCUGGUGCCGGUCAGUGAAAUGGGGACAGGUGCGUGUGGGAGAACACAGUGGCAAAAAUGGAUCCUAAGCCUGGGGCGAGUAGCUUGGACGUCCUCUCACCAAGUCUUACCUCGCUACGGCCAUUUAUACUUGAUAUCCUCCAUCUCUUUCCACUUUCAUAGAAGCUCCACGCAUGUAGGCUUUUUGUCUUCUGUUCAUCAUCCAUCGCCUAGAUGGAUACCUUGCGUAGAAGAUGGUUUCAGUACAUGUUUGUUGAAUGAAUGGUAUGAUUUGCUUAUGCAGCCAUCGAUCUCAAGAGGACAAUCUGGGUGGGAGAAACAGCUGAGGUAGGGACCAGGAAGCAAGAAUUUUCAGGCUUUGCUUAAGGAGUAAUGACUGUUUUGUUCAGAAUAAUUUGACCUGCAAAUUACUUUUUCUGCAGAACAUUUUUGUCAAUUUCACUGUAUGACAGUUUAUAAUCUGAAUGUUUUCAAAGGAAUGAAGGUAGAAUUAAACCUGUGGGAAUUACAUCUUGGCACCUACCAAAACUUUGUCCAACUUCAAACAGGCUUCCAGAAUAUCUCCUACCACUUUCUGACUGAAAAUACGAUGUCAUUAGAUGACUAAAUUGGACAAAGUACCCUGCUAUUAAGGGAAACAUAUCCUUUUCCUGUAUCUCUCGGAUUGGCUCAUACCAUUUCUCCAAACAUGCUAAUUAUUUACUUCUCCAUAUUGCCGGUGCUAACAAUUCCUUAAGAUAUAAUUUUAGAACUUUAAUAAAGAAAACGAAAACAAUUUUUAAGGUUAAAAAAAAAUUAAAAACAGAAGACAAAAUCCAAGCUCCUAUAACUUCUUAACUAGUUUCUGGAAUCCACGAGUAGAUGAUAGAUGUGAUAAGCCAUAGCAAAUUCUUUCAUGACAGUGUCUGUCAAAUGUUCUACGGACUUGGAACAAAUCUGUCUUCUAUUUAUUUUUACUCAGUGACGAUCUCAGCUUCACAUUGUUCAGAAAACACAAGGUCAAUUUGCAUACCUUGCAGAGCUCCAUUUCUGUCAAAAAUUUAGCACACGGGCUCAAGAUCUAUCGUCUGAUAAGAAGCGGAUUCUAUGUCCUGCUAGGUUGGUGUUGCUCUUUGAGUCUGAGAGCUCGUUGGCCAUCUUGGAGGAUGACAUGAUCGCUGACCUCCUGUAGUGAUGCCUUGGAUGGAGGCUGUGCUUCCAAACUGUUUUCUUCCUCUCUGGUUCCCUCUCUUUCUAACUCAGCGAGCCAGUUAAUCCCUGGGACUCCUGGGAAGACUUACCACAUCUCCCUUUCCAUUCCCCUUCUUGCAAAUGAAUGUGGACGAGAGUUAUUAAUCCGAGGGUUAUUUCUUGAGGUAACUCUAGUACCUUCCAAUAUAAAAGUAGGUGGAAGCUUCUGAGGCCUUCGGCAGCCUGGUUGAGUCAGAGGUGAUGGCAAAAUAGGACGGAACAAGGAUGAUAGGUAACACUUGUAACGUUUCUCUGAUAGGAAGAAGCACAUCUCAUCACUUUUAUGGCAUUGAAUGGAAAUUUUUGCAGCUGUGGCAUAUCUGUGGAUACCACACAAAUUCUUAUGUACAUUUACUUCAAAAGGAAAGCUCAUGUCACUUCAAUGUGCUUGUUGGUUGGUAUGGUUCUCUUUACCUUGGCUAAGGCCCUGAAGAGCAAAGGGUCUUCCUUUUGCACUGAGGAGCUGUCAAUGGAUCAUUCAGUAUGGAAAAAUAAUUUCUGUAGCUAGAGCACUUCUGUGUAUUUUUGCUUGGUUAUGUAAGCUGCUUUGGAAAUACGAAAGUAAUAAGGCAAAUUGUCCACUGUUGUUGCAAAGGAGCAGUUCCUGCUUCAUGUCCAAGCGUUCUGAACAGAGAGCUCCAGGGAGAUCACUAACAUCUAGAUCAACCUGAUUUAGUUUAUAGGUUUGGUUUGGUUUGACUAAGAGACGAAUACCUAACUUCUUCUGCUAUCCCGUUCUUAUACCGCACAGACUGGAGGUAUUUCUGUAAAACAAUCAAUAUCUGUGUAGAGUUUUGUUUAUCAGCCAACUGAACAAAUGGAAAAAUAUUAUUGGUUACUCACUUGCUUAUUGCUAACUGGCUUUCUUGUUAGUCAUGGAGAAUAUAUUGUUAGCCAUGGAGAGUACACACACACACACACACACACACACACACACGUGUGUGUGCAUAGUCUCAUGUCCAUUUUAAAGCUUUAAUGCUAGAGGUGAAUGCUGGGAUUAUGCAGUCCAAUUCAUUUAUUUCACAAGUGGGGAAAUUAAUUCCAGCAGGAUUUAAAUGAUUUGCGCAAUACUAUAGAACCAAUCGGCCAGAAGGUCCGAAUUAGGACCCAGGCUUCCUGACUCUGUUCCAUGAUGUUUAUCUCCUUGCUACACAGUCUCCAAUCUAUGGGCAGUGAAAAUGGAAACCAUGGCCUCAGAUGACUUAAUUCUUCGAUUAGCCUUCUUAUAUCAUGAUGCUGUUAGGUCAAUAAAGAUAUAAGCAUUCAUCCCCGUAAUUACCUCUCCUUUCUCAUCUCUGCUUUUGGAUGUAGAGUAAAUGUCCUCGGCAUCCAUCAGAUUGUGGCUCAUCUCUUAGGCAUUAGUGAUAACAACAUUCAAGGUUUAGAAUUUAAGACAGAUGAGAUCCAGAAAUAUUUCUCUGGUGAGAGCCUUUAUAAGAAUAAUGAUUUUUGAUAUAAUAACUGUUAGCAUAGCUGUUAUCAAACAUGAUGACACACUAAUAAAA